GACGAACGCUGGCGGCGUGCUUAACACAUGCAAGUCGAACGGAAAGACCCUGCUUUUGUGGGGUGCUCGAGUGGCGAACGGGUGAGUAACACGUGUGUAACCUGCCCUUGACUUUGGGAUAACUUCAGGAAACUGGGGCUAAUACCGGAUAGGAGCUCCUGCUGCACGGUGGUGGAUGGAAAGUUUCGGCGGUUGGGGAUGGACUCGCGGCUUAUGAGCUUGUUGGGGUGGUAGUGGCUUACCAAGUCUUUGAAGGGUAGCCGGCCUGAGAGGGUUGCCGGCGACAUUGGGACUGAGGUACGGCCCAGUCGCGUACGGGAGGCAGAAGUGGGGAGUAUUGCAGAGUGGGCGGAAGCCUGAUGCGACGACGCCGCGUGCGGGAUGACGGCCUUCGGGUUGUAAACCGCUUUCGCCGGUGACGAAGCGUGAGUGACGGUAAUGGGUAAGGAAGCACCGGCUAACUACGUG
rnacentral:rRNA from 1 species